rnacentral:piRNA from 1 species
UCGUCGAAUAAUAGACAAAAUGGCACAA